AUUGAACGCUGGCGGCAUGCCUUACACAUGCAAGUCGAACGGCAGCACGGGAGCAAUCCUGGUGGCGAGUGGCGAACGGGUGAGUAAUAUAUCGGAACGUGCCCAGUCGUGGGGAUAACGUAGCGAAAGCUACGCUAAUACCGCAUACGAUCUAUGGAUGAAAGCGGGGGAUCGCAAGACCUCGCGCGAUUGGAGCGGCCGAUAUCAGAUUAGGUAGUUGGUGAGGUAAAGGCUCACCAAGCCGACGAUCUGUAGCUGGUCUGAGAGGACGACCAGCCACACUGGGACUGAGACACGGCCCAGACUCCUACGGAGGCAGCAGUGGGGAAUUUUGGACAAUGGGCGCAAGACCUGAUCCAGCAAUAGCCGCGUGCAGGAUGAAGGCC
rnacentral:rRNA from 1 species